rnacentral:rRNA from 1 species
UAGGGAAUCUUCCGCAAUGGACGAAAGUCUGACGGAGCAACGCCGCGUGAGUGAAGAAGGAUUUCGGUUCGUAAAACUCUGUUGUUAGGGAAGAAAAAAUGUAUAGUAACUAUAUACAAAAGAGACGGUACCUAACCAGAAAGCCACGGCUAACUACGUGCCAGCAGCCGCGGUAAUACGUAGGUGGCAAGCGUUGUCCGGAAUUAUUGGGCGUAAAGCGCGCGCAGGUGGUUUAGAAAGUCUGAUGUGAAAGCCCACGGCUCAACCGGGGAGGGUCAUUGGAAACUAAUAAACUGGGGUGCAGGAGAGAAAAGUGGAAUUCCUAGUGUAGCGGUGAAAUGCGUAGAGAUUAGGAGGAACACCGGGGGCGAAAGCGGCUUUUUGGCCUGCACCUGACACUGAGGCGCGAAAGCGGGGGGAGCAAACAGG